rnacentral:rRNA from 1 species
GUGGGGAAUAUUGGACAAUGGGCGAAAGCCUGAUCCAGCCAUGCCGCGUGUGUGAAGAAGGUCUUCGGAUUGUAAAGCACUUUAAGUUGGGAGGAAGGGCAGUAAGUUAAUACCUUGCUGUUUUGACGUUACCGACAGAAUAAGCACCGGCUAACUUCGUGCCAGCAGCCGCGGUAAUACGAAGGGUGCAAGCGUUAAUCGGAAUUACUGGGCGUAAAGCGCGCGUAGGUGGUUCAGUAAGUUGGAAGUGAAAUCCCCGGGCUCAAACUGGGAACUGCCUCCAAAACUGCAUAACUAGAGUACGGUAGAGGGUAGUGGAAUUUCCUGUGUAGCGGUGAAAUGCGUAGAUAUAGGAAGGAACACCCGUGGCGAAGGCGACUACCUGGACUGAUACUGACACUGAGGUGCGAAAGCGUGGGGAGCAAACAGGAUUAGAUACCCGUGUAGUCC